GGGGGUGACCAACCAUCUUGGUUUGCCUGGGACGGAGGGAUUUCUUAGGAUUUGGGACUUUCAGCGCUAAAAUCAGGAUGGUCCUGGGCAAGCCACGAUGGUUGGUCACCCUACUGUGAC
rnacentral:pre_miRNA from 1 species